rfam:Picea glauca, whole genome shotgun sequence.
GGAGAAAUGGAUGAGUGGACCAAAGCGAUAGAUUUCUAAUCCAUAGUACGGAUCAUCUGUACUGAGGGUUUGAAUCCCUCUCUCUUCA